rnacentral:rRNA from 1 species
CACUCCUACGGGAGGCGGCAGUGGGGAAUUUUGGACAAUGGGCGAAAGCCUGAUCCAGCAAUGCCGCGUGAGUGAAGAAGGCCUUCGGGUUGUAAAGCUCUUUUGUCAGGGAAGAAACGGUGAGAGCUAAUAUCUCUUGCUAAUGACGGUACCUGAAGAAUAAGCACCGGCUAACUACGUGCCAGCAGCCGCGGUAAUACGUAGGGUGCAAGCGUUAAUCGGAAUUACUGGGCGUAAAGCGUGCGCAGGCGGUUUUGUAAGUCUGAUGUGAAAUCCCCGGGCUCAACCUGGGAAUUGCAUUGGAGACUGCAAGGCUAGAAUCUGGCAGAGGGGGGUAGAAUUCCACGUGUAGCAGUGAAAUGCGUAGAUAUGUGGAGGAACACCGAUGGCGAAGGCAGCCCCCUGGGUCAAGAUGGACGCUCAGGCACGAAAGCGUGGGGAGCAAACAGGAUUAGAAACCCCGGUAGUCC